AGCUACAUUUCCGUACCGCUUCAUACUGAACUAAGCAAUCUUUAAAUGGUUUACAACAUGUAAGCUAAUUGCCCCCAACAAGCUGGGUACUCAUUUUAGCAACCUCAGAAGGAUGCCAGACUGAGUCGCCCCUGGAACCCUUGGCUGGAAUCUUGUGGCUGUGGCAGGUGGAAAAUUGGCCAGGGAUCAUCUCUACACUUUCUCUCUGCGUCAUGGGGAAACUCAGGUGGCCCCAGUGUCAUCGUGCAAGAGAAUGUCCCUUUUGCGUAGAGCAGCACUUGCACUGCUUCCAGAGCUUUUAGGCCUCAAAUAUGAUGCUGUAGGAUACCACUGACCUGGCAGCCCAAUUCUGAAAGACAUUGGCUGGGGGGAAAAUCCUACACAGAGCAAGACUGAGAGAUCUCUCAUCUGGAAGUGAUCUUCAUAUCAUUCAUUGGACUUGUCUUCAACAUGGUAGCUGGCUAAAGGACAUGCUAAAAACCAAAUCAUUAUUAAGAUCAAAGACUGCGAGGCACACAUCCUAACCGUUUAGUGAUACUUUCAAAGGCAUCUGAGAAAUCUAGAAUCUUUUUUUACAUAUUGGAAAUUUUAAGGGUAGUAAUAAAUUGCUUGAAAAUAAAAUACAUGGAGGGAGGGUGAUGAAGUCAGGAAAAAUUUAGCAGGAAAAAGAAUGGCAGGGCAGCACAAACAGUGAAAACUCAAACUACAAUCCCCUGGACCCUGUCAGGAUGCAUAUGCCUCUUUCCUCUUGGUUGCAGGAGGAUGCACGCAGGCGGAGAAGGUGUUCAACCCCCUGCAAUUCCUUCUGACCCUGUAAGCGUCCACUAUCACUGCUCCUUUGCUUUGGUGGCAGUGUUAGUGGAUGUUGAGGGAGGCUAUGGAUCCAGAAGACCCACAGCCAUCCUGUUUCCCCCACACUCCCUCCAUGAAAGGACAAAAACUUUAUGUCAGUCCUGUGUCAUUGAGUUCCCAUCAAAAUAUGUAGGCAUGGUUUCUCCAUGUGACAAGGGAAACUAGGGCUGGUCUCUCAUAUACAGCCACUCCCCCUCUUAUACAGCAGGGAUCUCAGAUCUUUUUGACUAAGCCAGAAACAGACAGUUCUGUUGUUGUCUUUUCCUGAGACCCAACAUAUUGUUUAUUUUAUUUAUAUGUGGCUUUUCCCCCAAAUUGGACCAAAUGCAAAAUGUUGAACAUAUUUACCCAUCCUAGUCUCAUCUCUUGUAAAUUAGUUUUUUUUUAAUGUUUUGUAUUUAUUUAAAAACUUCCACAUUUGUUUCAGUGAUGUCUGGUAACUUCCAGUGGGGGCGUGAAUUUCAUCCAGGUUUCAUUAUAACUUUAAAGCAUCUGCCCAUGGUGUUGAAAACAGCCCUUUCCAUUGUUUCUUUAAAAUUUGGACUAAAACCCUCAAUGGAUUCACUGUCUCAGUGACACUGGGACCACUUUCCACCAAUGAUCUAUCAUCUCACCUAUGAGGAAAAGAAAUUCAUAGGCAUUUAAGGGGCAGUCCAUUGAUACUGCUGUUGCUGUGUUGAACAGACAAGGAGAACAGGAAUAGAAACUGUGAGGAGGGUGCUACUAAUUACAGUUACAGGAGAUCUUUAGUCAGUGGGACUUCCUUUUGCAAAGCCUUAUAGACAGAAGCUGGUCAUGGAAACAGGAGUUGCUAGAAAGCACAGCAUUACAUGACAUCUGUGUGGAUCUACUCAUUCACAAUUUCUUUUCCAGUUGACAGUAGAAGACUAAUCCAUCAGCAGUGUCAAAGACUAAAACAGAAGCUAUCUAAGAGAAGAAAACAGUUUUAUCAUUUGCAAAGCUUUGUGCGUUGCCUUUAAUGUGCACAAGAAUUUAAAAAGAAGGGGAGGAAGCAAACUGACAGGAGCAACUUUAAGAAUAAUCGAUUUAUUUUAGUAUGGUGUGUGUGUGUGUGUGUAUUUUAUUCCACUGGAGAAAAGAUGGCUGCACUUAGCCUUUGCAAGUAGUAUUUCAGACCUAUUCUUCCCCCUCACACUUUGGAAAGAGGAGCAAGGAAUAAAUCUGAUUCAUGGAUAAAGCACUAGGUGGAAAAAACUCCACAUGGGACUUGAGCCAGGAAUCCAAUAAUAUCCAUGGGCAUCGACAUGACCUUGAUGUCAAGGACAUGACCAAGUCUACUAAUAUUACCUGGCCCACAAGAAAUUGCAGGGCCCCAACCCCAAAGUAGUUCUCAGAGAAUGGCAUAUCAGAAUGCUUUAUUAUCAAAGAUUUCCCUCCACCCCCCAGUAUUGGGAUUCAACUCAGUUCACACUGCAGUAUACUGGAAUUGUGAUGUACAAAAACAAUGACUGGAUCAGAGCUAGUGGCAACAAUUUCAGUGCACAUCUACAUUGUUCAAAACAAGUUUAGUGAAUCAAUGGAUUAUUACUUUCUGCCUAGUGUCUUUUAUGAUUGGCCAUUUGGUGGCCUAACAUGGGGUGGAGGUGGGGAUCUGAACAAAACCAAAGUAGGAUCAACAUUUGCAUGGUGAAUAUCUCUGUUUUUUAAAGCAGAGGUAUUCACCAUGCACUAUAUGUGGUCUUCUUUGCAAUAUGCUGUCUUAAUAGCUCAGAAAAAGGCCUGAGAUAGGCGGGUGGGAAGCGCCGUCCUCUGCCCAAAAUUAGGAUUUGGGAGCAUGCAGCAACUGCACAUUCCCAAACCUUAGUACAGAGCGACGCUGCCAUCAUGGCGGCCUUUGGUCUACACAGAGGCUGCCAUGAUGACACAAGCGUGGCACUGCAUCCGCACGUUGGGGCACUGCGCUUGUGUCAUUGAUGUGACACAAUGCACUAAUGGCGCAAUGAUGGCGGCACUUUUAGCGGGUUCUUUUUGGUGCGGAGGGAGCCAGUGCAGUUUGGUUGCUGUGGGUUCCCUCUGGAGGGAAAACGGGUGGCUCCAGACCACCCUUUUGGGAUGGUCUGUCCAGCCCUUUAGUUAACAUAUAGGUGAAGGGAAGGAUGUAGGUUAAAAGAGGAUGUAAGAGUAGGUUGUGGAAUGGAAUGUGGGAAGAGUGUCAGCAUUUUUCCCCCUUUCCACCACAGUUCUAAUGAAAAAUCAACCUCACACCAAUGAAUAGCCAUUUACUCCAAGUGAGUAACUCUCAUUGAUGCCACUGGGAAUACUGGGGCUGCAAUCCUGUGUGGCUCAGCAUAUGGUAGUAGUUCUGUAUGCAGAACUAUGCUAGUCUGUGCCACAUACCACCCAGAGUUACCAUACACACUCUGAAAUCCCCAUCCAUAGCAUGGGCAUUCUGUGCUUUGUGGUGAGAGAACAAGAUUAUGAAAGUAACAUAAUCAGCACUAAGGGCCACUGGGAUUCUGUGAAGGUCUUAGUGAUGCUGUAAUCAUUUUGCACAUGGAUAGAUCCUGCCUGCUUUUCACAAGACACAGGAAUGGCCUUGGGAGGGGAUCUCAGCAGUUGUACUGUAAGUUGGGGGGGAUGUUUUUAGCAUUGCAUGGAAGAAGGGAAUAUCAACCUUCACAACACUCAAAAAAGACAUAUACAGUUGCAAGAGAAACCAGCCAAUGUGUGUUUAGGGGUACCUGCCGCAGUUCCAAAUCCUCCUUCCCAGUGACAGA